rnacentral:rRNA from 1 species
UAGGGAAUCUUCGGCAAUGGACGAAAGUCUGACCGAGCAACGCCGCGUGAGUGAAGAGGGUUUUCGGAUCGUAAAACUCUGUUGGUAGAGAAGAACGUUGGUGAGAGUGGAAAGCUCAUCAAGUGACGGUAACUACCCAGAAAGGGACGGCUAACUACGUGCCAG